UAUGGUAAUCCGCCGCGGUAAUACGGAAGGUCCGGGCGUUAUCCGGAUUUAUUGGGUUUAAAGGGAGCGUAGGCCGGAGAUUAAGCGUGUUGUGAAAUGUAGAUGCUCAACAUCUGCACUGCAGCGCGAACUGGUUUCCUUGAGUACGCACAAAGUGGGCGGAAUUCGUGGUGUAGCGGUGAAAUGCUUAGAUAUCACGAAGAACUCCGAUUGCGAAGGCAGCUCACUGGAGCGCAACUGACGCUGAAGCUCGAAAGUGCGGGUAUCGAACAGG
rnacentral:rRNA from 1 species